GACGAGGUGGCCGAGUGGUUAAGGCGAUGGACUGCUAAUCCAUUGUGCUCUGCACGCGUGGGUUCAAAUCCCACUCUCGUCG